rnacentral:rRNA from 1 species
UUGUAAAGAAUGCAUGAACUGUAGACUGAGAAUGGACGAGGUAGGCGGAAUUCGUAGUGUAGCGGUGAAAUGCAUAGAUAUUACGAAGAACUCCAAUAGUGUAGACUGCUUACCAGACCAUAUCUGACACUAAGGCACGAAAGUGUGGGUAUCAAACAGGAUUAGAUACCCUGGUAGUCCACACAGUAAACGAUGAAUACUAACUGUUUGCGAUAUACAGCAAGUGGUCGAGCGAAAGCGUUAAGUAUUCCACCUGGGAAGUAUGCCGGCAACGGUGAAACUCAAAGGAAUUGACGGGGGCCCGCACAAGCGGAGGAACAUGUGGUUUAAUUCGAUAAUACGCGAGGAACCUUACCCGGGCUCGAACGAUAUUUGAAUACAUCCGAAAAGAUGUAGCUAGCAAUAGCAAAUACCGAGGUGCUGCAUGGUUGUCGUCAGCUCGUGCCGUGAGGUGUCGACUUAAGUGUCAUAACGAGCGCAACCCUUACCGAUAGUUACCAUCAGAUAAUGCUGGGGACUCUAUUGGGACUGCCACCGUAAGGUGUGAGGAAGGAGAGGAUGACGUCAAAUCAGCACGGCCCUUAUGUCCGGGGCGACACACGUGUUACAAUGGGAGAAACAAAGGGUCGCUACCUGGCAACAGGAUGCUAAUCUCGAAAAGCUCUCUCAGUUCGGAUUGGAGUCUGCAACUCGACUCCAUGAAGCUGGAUUCGCUAGUAAUCGCACAUCAGCCAUGGUGCGGUGAAUACGUUCCCGGGCCUUGUACACACCGCCCGUCAAGCCAUGGAAGCUGGAAGUACCUGAAGUAUGUAACUAAAAGAGCGUCCUAAG